CUUCUCCGAUUAUCUUCUCCGUCAACGGUAACAGCGGCAAUGGCGAGGAUCCUUGAAACCAGGAGCUGCUCUUUUCAAAUGGUGGACAUGAGCAUCCAACGUCUUAAAAGCAAUGCUUUCAUGACUUGAUGCUAUUGUCAUUUCAUUGAGGAGCAUAUCUGCAUCUUCAAAGAAGAGAGUUAACACUUCAACCAUAAAAUCUGGGCUGCUUUCAUCUUGGAGUUGCUGGAGCUGGUUAAACUGUUCAUCCAGAAACCCUCUCAUGAUUAGAGAGGCAGUAUAAUCAACAUGUUGUCUCUGUUGGGGAACCAUAGCAUUAACAUCCAUUGUUUGUCUCAUUUUUUCAACAUUCACUGAAGAUCUUAGGCAUUCAUUUCUUCUUCUAAUACUUGGAUUGUAUAUAGUUAGUUUUGUUCUCUACUCACGACUAUUAGUUUCUGGAUAGAGAUUUGGGCAAUAUCAAAAAUCUGUGGGAACCUUAAUAUCCUUGUAUCUAAGACUCAAAUAUAUGGUGCUUUAUUGUUGUGUUCUUUAUGUUUUAUAAAC